rnacentral:rRNA from 1 species
GACGAACGCUGGCGGCGUGCUUAACACAUGCAAGUCGAACGAGACGAUUGAAAGCUUGCUUUCGAAAGUCGAGUGGCAAACGGGUGAGUAACGCGUAGACAACCUGCCUUUGAGAUGGGGACAACAGUUCGAAAGGACUGCUAAUACCGACUGUUGUAUAUUUUCCACAUGGAAGAUAUAUUAUAGAUGGCCUCUAUUUAUAAGCUAUCGCUCAAAGAUGGGUCUGCGUCUGAUUAGCUGGUUGGUGGGGUAACGGCCUACCAAGGCGACGAUCAGUAGCCGGUCUGAGAGGAUGAACGGCCACAUUGGGACUGAGACACGGCCCAGACUCCUACGGGAGGCAGCAGUGGGGAAUCUUCCACAAUGGACGAAAGUCUGAUGGAGCAACGCCGCGUGAGUGAAGAAGGGUUUCGGCUCGUAAAGCUCUGUUGUCGGGGACGAAUGUGCAGUAUUUGAAUAAAGUACUGCAAUGACGGUACCUGACGAGGAAGCCACGGCUAACUACGUGCCAGCCGCCGCUGUAA